rnacentral:tRNA from 1 species
GGUAGAGCUCAGUGGUAAUGUGUGAGCUUAGCGUGCGCCAGGGCCAGGGUUCAAUCCCCAGCACCA